AUUGAACGCUGGCGGCAGGCUUAACACAUGCAAGUCGAGCGGGGAAGGGUAGCUUGCUACCUGACCUAGCGGCGGACGGGUGAGUAAUGCUUAGGAAUCUGCCUAUUAGUGGGGGACAACAUUCCGAAAGGAAUGCUAAUACCGCAUACGCCCUACGGGGGAAAGCAGGGGAUCUUCGGACCUUGCGCUAAUAGAUGAGCCUAAGUCAGAUUAGCUAGUUGGUGGGGUAAAGGCCUACCAAGGCGACGAUCUGUAGCGGGUCUGAGAGGAUGAUCCGCCACACUGGGACUGAGACACGGCCCAGACUCCUACGGGAGGCAGCAGUGGGGAAUAUUGGACAAUGGGCGAAAGCCUGAUCCAGCCAUGCCGCGUGUGUGAAGAAGGCCUUUUGGUUGUAAAGCACUUUAAGCGAGGAGGAGGCUACUGAGAUUAAUACUCUUGGAUAGUGGACGUUACUCGCAGAAUAAGCACCGGCUAACUCUGUGCCAGCCGCCGCGGUAAAAC
rnacentral:rRNA from 1 species